UGAAUAAUCAAAGAUGGGAUUUGAAAAAGGGCAAAACAAGCAUAAAUGCCAUGGCUUCUCCAGCUUUUCCCAAAGGACAAACACAAAGUUCGGCCUUCACUGAAUCAGUGUCCUGGAGUCCCCUGUUCUGUGUCCUGGAUGAAAUCCCGUAGCCACUCAGCACUUAACGCCAUUUACUGCAGGCAGACAGGGAGAGACCAGCUUGCGCCCCGGCCACUGGGAUCGUGAAGGAAUCUCUUCUGAGGGUGAAGUAAGCUCGGCUGGGUCGGCACUACUCGCCCUCCUUGAAGCCACCUGGACCUGACGCUCUUGCCCAGACUCUUCCUGCCUCCUGUCUCUGUUCUUCCCCCUUCUCUGCCUCGCAAACUCCUCUUCAUCCUGCAGGACACAACUUCUGUCAAGGAGUUAUUGCAUUAUAUUAUCAUUUAUCCAUUAAUGCCGACUGCCCCUGGGAUUAUAUGCACCUUGAGGUUAGACUUAAGAUGUGUUGGCACAAUUAUUAGAGUCAAUCGCAGUGCCUGGCACAUUAGGUGCUGCUCCAGAUUUGUUUGCAGAAUGAAUGGCUUGAAGUAACUGGACGUAUAAAUGAUCACAGCAUCACCGUCAUCAGUCACUGUGCACCAAGCACCUCACCUCCAUCAUCUCAUGUAAUCUUUACACCAACCCUGCAAGGGAGGGUUUUAAAAUCACUGUCUUACAAGAGGAAAAACUGAGCCUGGAAAGGUUGAAGGCUUGCUCAAGGCGGAAGAGCUGGUGAAUGAUAGGACCAGGUCCAAAAGAUGUUUUCUUUCACUGGCAUCGGUUCUGCCUCCCAGGGCAGACUGUGUGGCACUCAUCUAUGUACACCCCUCCUCCCAGGACCCAGCAUAAUAUGUGCACAAAAUCAAAUGACUGAAUGAGCGAAUGAAUAAAUGAAUAUGUAACCACUGUCAUUUUCACAUCAACCACGACUGAGCUAAAUUCCAGGGCCACCGUGCCAAGCCAUAUUGGAACCCAAGCAAAAGGAAAAAUGUGCGCCUGUGUAUAUGUAUUUUAGGUGGUUUUUCAAUAAUUUUUUUCUAGAACAUUAAGGAAAGGAAUAUUGAAGAAUAAAAAGCAAGACUACUAAAAAUCACA
rnacentral:lncRNA from 10 species